UACGGAGGGUGCUAGCGUUGUUCGGAAUUACUGGGCGUAAAGCGCGCGUAGGUGGUUUUGUAAGUUGAGAGUGAAAUCCCGGGGCUUAACCUCGGAAUUGCUCUCAAGACUGCUAAACUUGAGUAUGGUAGGGGAUAGCGGAAUUCCUAGUGUAGAGGUGAAAUUCGUAGAUAUUAGGAGGAACACCAGUGGCGAAGGCGGCUAUCUGGGCCAUUACUGACACUGAGGCGCGAAAGCGUGGGGAGCAAACAGG
rnacentral:rRNA from 1 species